GUAUGUCCUCAUCAACUCUCCACAGCCUCUCUCUCCCUGCACCUCCUGCUAAGCUCUGCGUGGGAACUGAUCCUUGUGUACCCACUGGAGAGAAGCCGGGUCCAUCCAGCGGAGCUCGGAUCUCGGCAGCAGGGCAUCGGGUUCCGGUGGUUUGGGAGUUGAUCACAGAUUGAGGCGGUGAGGAGAUCGAUCCCAUGGAGAGAAGCAUCAUUCAUCUCUGAGGAUCCCCACGACUGCUGCUGGGCUUCAUUUUGUCCGGCGUGCCUCUGCAGUGCUGUACCCUAGUCAGGGAGUAACUGAAAACGGUGAUGAUGCUGCUGUGAAAAAACUGAAGCUUCGUCAUGACGUCAACCUUGACUUUAAGCAGUUCCAAAAUGAGUUCUAUAACCUCACAAAACUUAAGCAUCGAAACGUUGUACAGAUUCUUUGCUAUUGCUAUGAAAUAGAGAAAAAACCUUUUAUCAUGCCUGAUGGAAGUAAGGUGUUUGUUGAA